AAUCCUGAGGCCUUAUGUAUCAAAUUGCUACGUGUUAGGUUCAACUUACUACGUGUUAUGUUUUGCACCCACAUCUCUCUGCUUCCACUUACAGACCUACACCUCUCAGCUUCAAAUUAGAUUCACCGUCUCUGCUUCUUCUUUUUCCCUCGGUCCACCGCCUCCAUCGUCAGAUUCGCCGUUGCAAAAUCUACCACCAUGGACGACCGUUCUCCGAUGCCUCCCCUGAUUCACCUCCGUAUAACCACUCAGAUCCUCAAACAAACCACUACCAUCUUAUCCAUCCACCACCACCACCACCUCCUCAUCUUCAUCUUCCUCUUAUUUCUCAUCCUCUCCCUCCAUUCCAACGUCGAAAUUGCCACUCACUCCCUUGCUUCCUUCAUCGACCAUGACCCUUCCAUAAAAUCACUCUUCUCUCGCCUCCACAUAUCUUUUAAUCCCCCCCACCCGCCAUCACCCACCAUCAUCGUCGUUGGCCUUUCCUCCAGCUCGCCCAUGUUGGAACCCUAGAUGAUGAUUUCUUCUCUGGAUGGCACCUCAUUCAUAGUUGACUUCUUCGAUCCCUAACGAGGGUUCUCUAAUUUCAUAUCCGAUAAUGGAAUUAGGGUUUCAGAGAUUGUGCUUUCUCAUGCUAAGAUUUCUUUCAAAGCAUUUGAGGCAAUCGAGAUUGAAGAAAAGAUAAAUACUGGUAAUACCAACUCUCCUCCAAUGAUUAAAGAAAAUGAGUGAUACCAUUCAUGAUCUGCAGCUUUUUCUCAAGAGGUUUGAAGUAGAACAUCUUGAAAUGAUUGCCUUAUUAUUUGUUCUCGGUGUGUUAUCUGCUUCAUACGCAAUAUGAUUGAUUUUCUGCCAGAAUAAUCAGCUCACUUUAGCCUUCCUCGACUCCUUUCUUCUAUCCAAACUUAUAUAUCUCAUGUUUAUGUAUUUAGGGUUUUAAUUACUGAUAUAGUAAGAUUGUUACCUGUAACUAAAUGGGAGGAUCGGAGAAUUUUUACAGUUGGUCGUUCUAAUUUGAAGUUCACAAAGCUUAGGAUUGGAGUUCUUUCAUUGAGCAAAACCAGGUAAAUGUAUCUUAUUUGGAUACAGUGGUGUGAUAAAAGUAUCGUCAUCAUAUUGAAAGAAAUAGCGAGGUACAUUUGAUUAUUUCACUUCUUUAUCUUCAUUUUUUUAAAUUGUAUCUUAAUUUUUUUUAAUGAAAUAUUGGUUUUGUUCUUAUAAAAGCUCAUUGUAUAUGUAUAUGUUGCCAUUUGCUUCAAUUUGCCCAAGCAGAAAUUGGUAAAUUAUUUUAUGCACCAAAAGUAAAGACCAUAAAGGAGUUGACACCGGUAUGGACAUGACAGAGGAUAAAUGAGGUAAAUGUACCUGGUACUAUUCCUGAAAAGAUCAAGAAGAAGAUGUUCAUCCAGGCUUACAGAUUGUCAUUGAAUAACCAAUUGGAAUAUUGAAAUAUACUGGAGUAGCUAAAGGGAAUGUGAGUAGGUGGAGAUCCAAUUUGGUAGGGCCCACCAAAUCAGAAAUUAUCAUUCUUUCGUUGGACAUCCUUUAUUUGAUGGAUUCUGGAAAAAAUGAAGCCCAUGAGAUGUUGAAGGUGGCUCAUUUAAAGUAUGAUAAUGCUUCAGAUGCUCUGAUGAAGAAGGCACGGGAGGUGGCACACAAAUUUGGUGAUAAAUAUGAUUAGGUAUUGAAGGGCGAUCUUGGUUUCGGCUUCUCCUUCUAAUCUAAAAGGCUAGAGAAUGAUAUUCGCAACAAAUGCAUUUGCAGUCUUUAAUGAUUCAAAUAUAUCAUGUAAAACAUUAACAGUUUAUCCAUAAGAUGCACCAUCUACCUAGAGAAAACAAAAGAAAGCUUUAAAGAAGUUAUAAAAUCAUAAUUUAAUAGCAACCAAUAUAAUAUAUAUGAGUC